rnacentral:lncRNA from 1 species
UAAUUAGUAGUGAAGCUUGUGGAACGACGCUUUGGCUGAGAGGAAAGAAAAUAUGAACAAAAUCCAGAAAAUCAAAAGAGGAAAACGGCCGCAUGAGAGGAAAAAAUAGGGAACAAAAUGCAGAGGACCAAAAGAAGAAAAAGGGGACUGCAGGGGAAGGGGAGGGAUCAAGGGGGCCAAGCACGGAAGAACCAAAGGGUACGACGACGCCGAAUGUUUGAGCUUUUAAUCUUAUCAUUUUCUAAUUUUUUUUUUUUUUGUUUAUACCCUCACGGAUCAGACAUUAUAUUUGUAUAACAACAAAAAAAUUCAUUUUUCAUUCAUAACUCAUUUUUUAUAUUACAUUUGGAUAAUGAUUAUAACGUAAAGAUGAAAGAAAUACCUUAAUCAUU